rnacentral:rRNA from 1 species
GAUGAACGCUGGCGGCGUGCCUAAUACAUGCAAGUCGAGCGAACAGACGAGGAGCUUGCUCCUCUGACGUUAGCGGCGGACGGGUGAGUAACACGUGGAUAACCUACCUAUAAGACUGGGAUAACUUCGGGAAACCGGAGCUAAUACCGGAUAAUAUAUUGAACCGCAUGGUUCAAUAGUGAAAGACGGUUUUGCUGUCACUUAUAGAUGGAUCCGCGCCGCAUUAGCUAGUUGGUAAGGUAACGGCUUACCAAGGCAACGAUGCGUAGCCGACCUGAGAGGGUGAUCGGCCACACUGGAACUGAGACACGGUCCAGACUCCUACGGGAGGCAGCAGUAGGGAAUCUUCCGCAAUGGGCGAAAGCUUGACGGAGCAACGCCGCCUGAGUGAUGAAGGUCUUCGGAUCGUAAAACUCUGUUAUUAGGGAAGAACAAAUGUGUAAGUAACUAUGCACGUCUUGACGGUACCUAAUCAGAAAGCCACGGCUAACUACGUG